CUCAGCGGUGUUGGAACUUCGUUGCUUGCUUGCCUGUGCGCGCGUGCGCGGACAUGGCCUCAAACGAUUAUACCCAACAAGCAACCCAAAGCUAUGGGGCCUACCCCACCCAGCCCGGGCAGGGCUAUUCCCAGCAGAGCAGUCAGCCCUACGGACAGCAGAGUUACAGUGGUUAUAGCCAGUCCACGGACACUUCAGGCUAUGGCCAGAGCAGCUAUUCUUCUUAUGGCCAGAGCCAGAACACAGGCUAUGGAACUCAGUCAACUCCCCAGGGAUAUGGCUCGACUGGCGGCUAUGGCAGUAGCCAGAGCUCCCAAUCGUCUUACGGGCAGCAGUCCUCCUACCCUGGCUAUGGCCAGCAGCCAGCUCCCAGCAGCACCUCGGGAAGUUACGGUAGCAGUUCUCAGAGCAGCAGCUAUGGGCAGCCCCAGAGUGGGAGCUACAGCCAGCAGCCUAGCUAUGGUGGACAGCAGCAAAGCUAUGGACAGCAGCAAAGCUAUAAUCCCCCUCAGGGCUAUGGACAGCAGAACCAGUACAACAGCAGCAGUGGUGGUGGAGGUGGAGGUGGAGGUAACUAUGGCCAAGAUCAAUCCUCCAUGAGUAGUGGUGGUGGCAGUGGUGGCGGUUAUGGCAAUCAAGACCAGAGUGGUGGAGGUGGCAGCGGUGGCUAUGGACAGCAGGACCGUGGAGGCCGCGGCAGGGGUGGCAGUGGUGGCGGCGGCGGCGGCGGCGGUGGUGGUUACAACCGCAGCAGUGGUGGCUAUGAACCCAGAGGUCGUGGAGGUGGCCGUGGAGGCAGAGGUGGCAUGGGCGGAAGUGACCGUGGUGGCUUCAAUAAAUUUGGCCCUCGGGACCAAGGAUCACGUCAUGACUCCGAACAGGAUAAUUCAGACAACAACACCAUCUUUGUGCAAGGCCUGGGUGAGAAUGUUACAAUUGAGUCUGUGGCUGAUUACUUCAAGCAGAUUGGUAUUAUUAAG
rnacentral:lncRNA from 1 species